rnacentral:rRNA from 1 species
CUCUACAGCCAUGCCACCUUGAACAAGCCCAAUCCUGUCUGAUCUCGGAAGCUAAGUAGGGUCGGGCCUGGUUAGUACUUGGAUGAGAGACCACCUAGGAAGACCAGGUGCUAUAGGCG